AGCAGCCGCGGUAAUUCCAGCUCCAAUAGCGUAUAUUAAAGUUGUUGCAGUUAAAAAGCUCGUAGUUGAAUUUCGGGAUCAAGGAAUCGGUCAUGCCUCGGUAUGUACUGGUUUUAUUGGUUCUCACCUUCUAAAGAACCAUGAUGUCAUUCAUUUGAUGUUAUGGGGAAUUAGGACUGUUACCUUGAAAAAUUAGAGUGUUUAAAGCAGGCUUACGCUUGAAUACAUUAGCAUGGAAUAAUGAAAUAGGACAUCAGAUUCUAUUUUGUUGGUUUCUAGGAUCGAUGUAAUGAUUAAUAGGGAUAGUUGGGGGCAUUAGUAUUCAAUUGUCAGAGGUGAAAUUCUUGGAUUUAUUGAAGACUAACUACUGCGAAAGCAUUUGCCAAGGAUGUUUUCAUUAAUCAAGAACGAAAGUUAGGGGAUCGAAGACGAUCAGAUACCGUCGUAGUCUUAACCAUAAACUAUGCCGACUAGGGAUCGGAUGAUGUUUUAUUUUUAGUGACUC
rnacentral:misc_RNA from 1 species